rnacentral:rRNA from 1 species
UACGUAGGGUGCAAGCGUUGUCCGGAAUUAUUGGGCGUAAAGAGCUCGUAGGCGGUCUGUCACGUCGGCUGUGAAAACCCGGGGCUCAACCCCGGGCCUGCAGUCGAUACGGGCAGACUAGAGUGCGGUAGGGGAGACUGGAUCCUGGUGUAGCGGUGAAAUGCGCAGAUAUCAGGAGGAACACCGGUGGCGAAGGCGGCCUGCUGGGCAGUUACUGACACUGAGGCGCGACAGCGUGGGGAGCAAACAGG